rnacentral:lncRNA from 1 species
UGUGAAAGGAAAGGUGAACAUUGCAAAAUGCCAGUUGGAUAAAAUAAAAUGUUUGGGAAGACGUUAACAGGGAUGGUAUCUCUCCUUACCUCCUCUUCUGAGCAUAUGAAUCUCCAGUUGUCUUGGGACGUGCAGGCCCCGGUAUGACAGUGGUUGUGUUUACGCUGGCAGCUGUGCAGUAACCCAGUGGGACUUGUUCAUUAUUUGCUGCCAGGAAUCAGCAGCAACAUUUACUGAAAAAGGCAAUGUAAGCCCAGCAAAGACCUCAGCUGUGUCAUGAUCUCCGUAUAACAGCGCCAGGCACAAUCCUGCACCUCCCAGAAGCGUGCCCAGCUGCCUCUGUCCCAGCGGGGCUCAGCAGACCAGCCUCAGGCUGUGGGCUUGGGAGCACAGAAGUGGGACGACUGAGGGACAGCCACACGUCUGCGACACCUGCAACCCAAGAAAGCUGGACCCUGGAGAUCCUUGUGCAGUGACGUGGCUGUUUGGACACAGCCUGCUCCUGCUCCUGCUGCAAUAG